rnacentral:snoRNA from 1 species
UAACCAUAAUGGGAGCAAAAGUUUUAUAAUUCUUUCUAUCUUUCCCAUGCUUGGUAUAAGGUCUCACUAUCUUUUUGAGCAAAAGAAGAAAUUUGCUUUUUGGGGCA